ACAAAAGAAAACCUCCGAAAUGAAAUCGAUUGAGAAGCUUCCGAGGAGGAGACGGGACUCUCGCAAGGCAUCUCGGCGCGCCGAGUUUUCAGUGCUUUGUGGUAAUCUAGUGCUAUUUGUGAAGAGAUUCACAAGGCAGGUGACAAGAAGAAGCCCUAGCCUGUCGAUGAAUACCUUCCUGAUGGACUAGCGGCAUGAAGAAUUCAAGCCCAUGAAGACUUAAAGUCCAUGAAGAAUUCAAAUCCAUGAAGAAAUCAAACCCAUGAAGAAAUCAAGUCCAUGAAGAAUUCAAGCCCAUGAAGAAUUAAUGCCCAAUUUGAGCAACCCAUGGAAAAUAUUAUUUGGAGAAGGCCCAAGGAUUAUUUUUAAUCCUAAUGAAGAUUAAAAACCAAUUUAUAGAAAUCUAUUUUUAUUUUUUAUGUGAGAGCUUUAUUAGGUGUGUUUUUUAGCUAAAAUCCAUUUAACUAUUAGGUGGAUAUUAUAGUUAAAAUCCAUUUAACUUUAUGAGUGCUUUAUUAGGUAUGUAUUUUAGCUAAAAUCCAUUUAAUAUUAGGUGUGUAUUAUAGCUAAAAUCCAUUUAACUUUAAGUGUGUGAGUGCCCAUUAGAUAUAAUUAUGUCUAAUUGAAUAAUUGAAAUUGUGUGAUUUGUAUUGCAUCUUGUGGCCUAUAAAUAGCUCACUUGAUUGCAUUUAUAAGUGUGAUUAUUAUUCUUGAAUAAAAGUUUAGUUAUUUCCUUAGAAUUCUCUCUUUGAGAAUUGCUUUUGUUCUCUCUCAUUUUCUUUAGUAUUUUCUCUUGUGAUCUUACUUCCUUCCUUUCUUCUUUUAAAUUCUUAUGUCAUUUAUUAUUACUUUAUUAUUCACCGUCUAAAUGGAUGGUUAGUUUUUGCCUUUAAAUUCUUGCAAUUUUCAUUCUUAUCAUUUAAUUGUUCACCGCCUAAAUAGACGGUUAGUUUAUGCCUUUAAAUUCUUACAAUUUUAAUUCUUGUAUUUUAAUUAUCUAUCGCCUAAAUGGCUGGUUAGUUUCUUCUAUUUUAAUUCCUGUCAUUUAAAUUCUGUUAUUUAAAUUAUGUCAUUUAAAUUCCUGUCAAUUAAUUUAAUGGAGAUGAGUAGCUAAAUCUAAUCUUGGGUUAAGGCAAGGACAGUGUCCAACGCCAAUGAUUCCCAAAGAAAGCUGCGUUUUAAAUAAGUAACAUUAAUUUAAAUUUCAGUAUGAGUGUGUAUUAAUUAUUGAAAAAUCACUAGGUUUGGAUUGGAGCGUAAGCCUAACUUAGAGCUUUCAUGCCAUGUAUGAGAGUUACUAGAACUGGAAACGCUAUCAUACCCAAACCCGGAUAAUUAAUUUAGUUGUUUUGUAUAUUAAUUGUAAUUGGAUUUAUGGUAGUUGCUUAAAUUAGAAUCCCGCAUAUCAUGUAUGGGGAUUGCUUAACCUAGAACUAUCAUCAUCUCUAAUUGCAUUUAAUAACAAACCCUCAUAUCUGAAAUUAAAUUAAUGUUGCUAAUCUUUUAUGCUAAAAUUUGGGAAUCAACGGGUUGGUACUGAAAUUGUCUUAACUCAAGCACUAUCCAAAUUCAUAUUUUUACGUUUAAUGUUUAUUUCAAUUUUUGCUUUACUUUAUUUUCUAGUAUCGGUUAUCUAAAAACAAAACCAUAAAAAAUCUUGUUGUCAAUUUGUCCAAAUGCGUGUGUGUGUGUGACAUUCUUUUUCUUUUGCCAUAAAUAAAUCUCUCAGUGGACGACCUGGAUUCAUCCAGAAAAUAUAAAUUUAAAUUUGGACUACAACUGCACUCGUACACUGGCGAGUAUAAACCUCUCACUAAAAUAAAAAAUAUAUAAAAAUUUUAUUAUGAUUUGUUUUUAUUGUGUUUUAAUUGCAGGGUGAGAGUGCAGUCACUUUACGAGGUGAAGCUACGCCUGUGGUUGAUAAACAUUGUUGCCAUGAGUACUUAUAAGCUAAGGUUAUAAAUGUUAUUAGGAAUAGCAUUUAUAAAAAAAUUUAAGUAUGGGGAGGUUGUAAACCCUAUACCCUAAACUCAUAAAAGCAAUUCCAAAAGCUUUUAUAAGCCUAUUCUAUAAAUGCUCUUUCUGUAAGCGAUCAUGAAAUUAGGGAAAAAAAAAAGUAUGAUUUAAUAGGACUUGUUUUCAACCUAUACAAAAGAACAUAGGAAUUCUAUACAUAAGGUGAAAAAUUGUAAUGCAACAAUUCCACAUAAAAGAUGGGAAAAUCAUAAGAUUUGAACUGACAAACAUUAAUAGAAGAUUGAAAUGUCCAUUAUAUAUGAAAAAUGGAAAUAUUCACAAACCCUCCGCUAAUAGAAUAGCUAAUUAUAGACCAAUUGGUGCACCACGUGCCCCUUUUUGUCCUUUUUGUUUGAUUGGUUCCUAAGAUGCCAGCAUCUUUGUGGUCGAUUGAUACCAAGUAUGCCUCUAUGUCACCUGUCUUUGAUGUCUAAACCUUGAGUGUUGAAAGGACUACUCAAUACUUAGAUCCCACCUCUGAUUGUUAUUGCGUGUGUGUGGAUCUAGUUAUGGGUGGGGGGAUGUCCAAGUCCUAUAUGUUCAUUUCGUUUUCCUUUUUGGCGCUAUUGACAAGGACAACCUUGUCAUGAUCACCAUUUGCAACCUUGACCUUAUCAUCAUUGGUUGGUUUCUUAGCUUACUCUACAUGGUUAACUAGCGGAUGGUCUGGAACAAGUGUUAUAGUUUUAGUAAAGAAUCAUCGGCAUUUAUAAGAGCUUCUUUCACCUUAUGGGUUGGAGCAAACCAAAAUCCAUGAAGGUGUUCUUUAUUCACACUUACGAUACUCUCUUCUUGUAGAAGUAGAAAUUGUAUUGUGCUCCCAAAAAAAUAAAAGAGCAAUGAGAAUAAUGAACAAAUAGGUGAAAUAUUACCGUACCAUAGCAUACCUGGCCUUGCCCUAGAGUUGGAAUAUUAUUGGCUAGGGGAGAUAUGCCGCCUCCUAAUGUUUCAGUACCAUGUCGUGUAUAACAUAAUGUGCUACAUAGGAAAGAUCGUGAAAGCAAUCAGGUUCAAGUUAAUCUUCCCACAACAUGAUGUAUUGAUGGUGCUAAGCCUUUGAAUUGAAUUAUUGUUUGCCUAGCUUGUCUUCCCUAUAUAAGGCACUCUUUGUGGUGGGGAUGUCUUGCACCAAUUCAAAUUGGCGUAUGACGUGUGAUGGAAUCUGCCACUCAAUAGAGUAAAAACAUUUGAGCGACACCUAUUUGCACCAUAUCCCCUGUUCUUGUAGACAAACCGUAAGCAUGCAUUAAAGGAUUUCCUUAGUGUAAAGCAUUCUUAUUAGGUACGGGUUGUUUAUUAAUCAAACAUACUGAAAUUAUGCUAAACAUGUACUUGGUUCAUUUACAUGUCAAAUGAGUUGCGGUAAUAUUGUAGAACAUGUGGGUGAGGGUUUUACUUUGAGGUCGUACUAACCCUCUAGUGGUAUGCUAAAAAAUUGAUAUUAGGGUCAAAAGUGCGUCGCCUCCAUUCAUGUUAGCGGUCCCAUCUACAACUUUCUCUACCACCUAGUUCAUAGCAAUAAUAGAGGGCUAGUUAUAUUUCUAGCAUCACUAUGGUUCACAUGGCAUAGUCCCUGUAUAGGCACAUGAGGUGUGGGUUCGCCCUAACUCAUGCUCCCACAAUGGCCAUAGUCUUAGAUUAAUAAUAGUUUGAUUCGUUGAAUAUUUGAUGUUGACUUGUUAGAUAUCAAUAACCCUCUAAUGUAGCAUAGGUGGUUUGCUUGCACAAUCUUUUGGAUGACCUCUUUGGUUGUGUCAUUUGGAAGGCGAGCAAAGUGAUCUUGUACCCAUGUGAACCUUAAGGAUGAUUCGAUUAGUGCCUCCCCCAAGCACUAGGCCAUACAACUCUUGGCACAAUUAAGUUGCCUAUCUAGUGACUAGAUAGGUGUGUUGACCAUGUCAACAAUUGCUUAGUCUAGUGGAUGUGGAAAGGGAUUGAUGGAGUUGUGCUUGAGGUUUCACGUGGUUAUGGGAGCACUUUGUCCGCCUUCUAGAAUUAGGCGAUCAUUUAGUCAUUUGCAUAGCCAUACACCUUGUGUUGCUUUGGAGGGUUAUGCAACCUGACAAGUUAACAUCUAAGGUUCAGCUGAUCUACCUACCCUUGAUUCGAGACUUCGACCAUUGCAGGAGCUUGAGCUAGGGGGAGAGCCACACUGGUGUGCCUAUAACUAGGUAUUGUGUUGUGCGAGCCACUUUGAUGCUAUGGAUUUCACUAGCCCUCUAUUGCUCCUGUAGAUAUGGUCAUGGGAAAGGUUGGGCAUGGACCUGUUGACAUGGAUGGAAGAGGCACAAUUUGACCUUGAUAUUAGAUUUUUUAGCUCACCUCGAGGGGUAAGGUGAUCUCUAAGCAAAAGCCUCAUCUACAUGUUUUACCAUUUCUCUCGCGACCAAUUUGAUAUGUAGAUGGUUACGGGUGCUUUAUAAUUUGAUUAAGUGUGAUUAUAUACAUUAAACAAUGUGGAUGUAAUAAGUUCAUUUUGUAUUGUUUUGUUUGUAGAUCAGUCGGUACACACAUUGGGGGUAUGGGAUAUGGUGUGCGUAGGUACCACUCAAAUGUUUUGACUUUGAGUGACAUUUUUCAUUGUGCGCCAUGCGGAUUGGUGCAAGGCAUCCGCCACCAUGCAUUUGCAGAGAGGGCCUUACAGGUCGUACAUGACAUGGUACUGAAGCAUCUCAGGGUGAUAUAUCUACCCUAGCCAAGUAUUCUAGCGCAAGGGGGAGGGGGGGUGUCAAACAUGCAACACCCUUUGGGAUUGGAUGCUCAACCCACUAGGCAUCCUUGGUAUCAGUCAACUGUGAAGAUGCUGACAUCUCGAGUUGUAUUCAACCAUAGGGGUUGAAGGAGGAGAAUACAUGACACAUUAAUUGGGUUUAUAGUUCCUUAUUCUAUUGGGGAAGAGGUUGUAAAUAUUUCCAUUUUUUCAUGUAUAAUGGACAUUUCAACCUUUUGUGUAAUAUUUGUUGGUUUGAUGUUGUGUGUUCCCAUUUUCUUUGUGUAAUUAUUGUGUUGUGUUUUAUCCAUCUUAUGUAUGAACUUACUGUGGUGUUUUGUACAAAUUGCAAACUUGGUUCUUUUAUUAAAUUAUACUUUUUACCUUUUUUCAUAGCUGCAUACAUGCUUUUGGGCAAGCAAGAGUGUUCAUGGAUGAGGUCACUAUGGUUUUGCGUGGCCUGCUGAGUGACAAGGCCACUAUUCUUUUAAAUUGGUUGUGGUUCCUUGGUAUUAUUUUGAAGUUUCCGUUCAUUGAGUUGCUAAGUGUUUGUUACUGGAAGAGUCGUUUAAAUUGGCGAAGAACUUGGAAUUGAAUUCAGUUGUGGGUUUGGUUUGUACACGUCUUUGCUGCGCC